UUGAACGCUGGCGGCAGGCCUAACACAUGCAAGUCGAGCGGUAGCACAGAGAGCUUGCUCUCGGGUGACGAGCGGCGGACGGGUGAGUAAUGUCUGGGAAACUGCCUGAUGGAGGGGGAUAACUACUGGAAACGGUAGCUAAUACCGCAUAAUGUCGCAAGACCAAAGUGGGGGACCUUCGGGCCUCAUGCCAUCAGAUGUGCCCAGAUGGGAUUAGCUAGUAGGUGGGGUAACGGCUCACCUAGGCGACGAUCCCUAGCUGGUCUGAGAGGAUGACCAGCCACACUGGAACUGAGACACGGUCCAGACUCCUACGGGAGGCAGCAGUGGGGAAUAUUGCACAAUGGGCGCAAGCCUGAUGCAGCCAUGCCGCGUGUGUGAAGAAGGCCUUCGGGUUGUAAAGCACUUUCAGCGGGGAGGAAGGCGGUGAGGUUAAUAACCUCAUCGAUUGACGUUACCCGCAGAAGAAGCACCGGCUAACUCCGUGCCAGCAGCCGCGGUAAUACGGAGGGUGCAAGCGUUAAUCGGAAUUACUGGGCGUAAAGCGCACGCAGGCGGUCUGUCAAGUCGGAUGUGAAAUCCCCGGGCUCAACCUGGGAACUGCAUUCGAAACUGGCAGGCUAGAGUCUUGUAGAGGGGGGUAGAAUUCCAGGUGUAGCGGUGAAAUGCGUAGAGAUCUGGAGGAAUACCGGUGGCGAAGGCGGCCCCCUGGACAAAGACUGACGCUCAGGUGCGAAAGCGUGGGGAGCAAACAGGAUUAGAUACCCUGGUAGUCCACGCCGUAAACGAUGUCGAUUUGGAGGUGGGGCCCUUGUGGCGUGGCUUCCGGAGCUAACGCGUUAAAUCGACCGCGUGGGGAGUACGGCCGCAAGGUUAAAACUCAAAUGAAUUGACGGGGGCCCGCACAAGCGGUGGAGCAUGUGGUUUAAUUCGAUGCAACGCGAAGAACCUUACCUGGUCUUGACAUCCACAGAACUUUCCAGAGAUGGAUUGGUGCCUUCGGGAACUGUGAGACAGGUGCUGCAUGGCUGUCGUCAGCUCGUGUUGUGAAAUGUUGGGUUAAGUCCCGCAACGAGCGCAACCCUUAUCCUUUGUUGCCAGCGGUUAGGCCGGGAACUCAAAGGAGACUGCCAGUGAUAAACUGGAGGAAGGUGGGGAUGACGUCAAGUCAUCAUGGCCCUUACGACCAGGGCUACACACGUGCUACAAUGGCAUAUACAAAGAGAAGCGACCUCGCGAGAGCAAGCGGACCUCAUAAAGUAUGUCGUAGUCCGGAUUGGAGUCUGCAACUCGACUCCAUGAAGUCGGAAUCGCUAGUAAUCGUAGAUCAGAAUGCUACGGUGAAUACGUUCCCGGGCCUUGUACACACCGCCCGUCACACCAUGGGAGUGGGUUGCAAAAGAAGUAGGUAGCUUAACCUUCGGGAGGGCGCUUACCACUUUGUGAUUCAUGACUGGGGUG
rnacentral:rRNA from 1 species